UAGGUUGGGGGGUCUCACCCCAUCGGCCCGGAGUUAACACAAUAAGUAAUCCAUCUGGGAGUUGAUCGCAAGGUUGAAACUCAAAGGAAUUGACGGGGGCCCGCACAAGCAGUGGAGUUUUGGUUUAAUUCGAAGCAACGCUAAGAACCUUACCAGGUCUUGACAUCCACUGAAUUUGGAAGAGAUUCCGAAGUGCCCUUCGGGGAGCAGUUAGACAGAUGGUGCAUGUUUGUCGUCAGCUCGUGUCGUGAGAUGUUGGGUUAAGUCCCGCAACGAGCGCAACCCUUGUUAUUAGUUGCUACGUAAGAGCACUCUGUUAAGACGCCGAUGASAAAACGGAGGAAGGUGGGGAUGACGUCAAAUCAUCAUGCCCCUUAUGACCUGGGCUACACACGUACUACAAGGGCCGUAAUCAGAGGGAAGCAAACCGCGAGGCGGAGCGUCCCCUAAAAGCGGUCUCAGUUCGGAUGGCAGGCUGAAACCCGCAGCAUGAAGCGGAAAUCCUAAUAAUCGCGGAUCAGCAUUCCGCGGUGAAUACGUUCCCGGGCUUGUGCACAUCUCCCAUCCCGCC
rnacentral:rRNA from 1 species